UACCAGAGUGACAUAUAAAUAAUGUUAUUAAUAUAAUAACAUACAGAUGUAUAAAUAAAACGAUUGGAAACUACUUAAAAUAAGUGUAAUUACAGAGAUAAUAUUUAUUUUAUAUAAAUAUAUAUAUAUCUACUUGAUUAUCAAUGUGACCAAUCGCGAGUGGUUUUUUAACCCGAGCAUGAGCCAAUGAGAGCGCAGAAUGUUGCGGAGUGGAGAAAUUGGUUUCCGGUUUUGCAUGAGGUUUGCUUGUGGUGUUAGAGGCAGCCCUCGUUAGCGUGCAUAGAUGCAGAGGACUGCGGUGUUUGCUAAAACUCCGGAAAACAGAAAUAAAGAAAUAACCUUUUUGAUGUGCUUUAUCGACGGAUUGAUGUUAAAGAAAAGGAUGUUGUAGCUGCACCGUUUCUGGAAAUUUCAAUAAGUUAACGAGCUCCUUGGUCAGGUUUUUGUUUUUUUGUUUUGUUUUUGUUUUCUUGUUCUGAUGUUCGAAGGCAUGUGUUCUGGAUUCGUCCCGGCUUUCCAGUGGUUUUGAGGAGGGUUUGGACUGGCGAGCCUCCCUUGAGUUGUUCUUGGACUUUCUGUGGAAACACCAGUUUUUUUCUAUACUCUGCGAAUGGUAGGAAAUCAAAUAAUUUCUUUUUCCUCGUUCGGAUGAAGACAUAUUUUUUCCCCUCAUCGACAGUGAAAAGACAUUUGUUUAGAGAUCAAAGGACAUUUUAUUUCAUUGAGAAGUGUCAGUUUUUUUUUGUGUGUUGAUAAGUGAGAUGUAUUGGGUUUUUUUUUUUUUAUGCUUGAAUAUUUAUUUUUUGUUAUUGAAAGUUAUUGAACAAAGAACUUACUUUGUUGAAGAUCAAUGGGAAAAUUUCCCGAAACCUGUUAAAACACAAGUAAUAACAAAAUUUAAAAAUAAUUUCAUUUGUGAGAUUAUAUAUUUUUUUUGUUUUAAUUAUUUCACAUUGCUUCAAUUUAACCUCUUGGACAUUGUUAAAUAAACACAUUGUAUGUUCAAUCCA